rnacentral:rRNA from 1 species
AAUCAACGCUGGCGGCGUGCCUCAGACAUGCAAGUCGAACGAUUAAAGCUCUCUUCGGAGAGUGCAUAAAGUGGCGCACGGGUGAGUAACACGUAAGUAAUCUACCCUCGAGUGGGGAAUAACGUCCGGAAACGGACGCUAAUACCGCAUGAUGCAGCGGCACCGCAAGGUGACAGUUGUUAAAGAUUUAUCGCUUGGGGAGGAGCUUGCGGCAGAUUAGCUAGUGGCAAGGUAAUGGCUUACCAAGGCUACGAUCUGUAACCGGUCUUAGAGGACGGUCGGUCACACUGACACUGAAUAACGGGUCAGACUCCUACGGGAGGCAGCAGUCGGGAAUUUUGGGCAAUGGGCGAAAGCCUGACCCAGCAACGCCGCGUGAAGGAUGAAGUAUUUCGGUAUGUAAACUUCGAAAGAAUAGGAAGAAUAAAUGACGGUACUAUUUAUAGGUCCGGCUAACUACGUGCCAGCAGCCGCCGU